GUGCUCGGCUUUGGCAGCACAUGUCUUAAAACUGGAACGAUACAGAGAAGAUUAGCUGGCUCCCUGUGCAAGGAUGACAAGUAAAUUUGUGAAGUGUUCCAUGUUAAA
rnacentral:snRNA from 1 species